rnacentral:rRNA from 1 species
CCUACGGGUGGCAGCAGUCGAGAAUCAUUCACAAUGGGGGAAACCCUGAUGGUGCGACGCCGCGUGGGGGAAUGAAGGUCUUCGGAUUGUAAACCCCUGUCAUGUGGGAGCAAAUUAAAAAGAUAGUACCACAAGAGGAAGAGACGGCUAACUCUGUGCCAGCAGCCGCGGUAAUACAGAGGUCUCAAGCGUUGUUCGGAAUCACUGGGCGUAAAGCGUGCGUAGGCUGUUUCGUAAGUCGUGUGUGAAAGGCGCGGGCUCAACCCGCGGACGGCACAUGAUAACGCGAGACUAGAGUAAGGGAGGGGGAACCGGAAUGCUCGGUGUAGCAGUGAAAUGCGUAGAUAUCGAGAGGAACACUCGUGGCGAAGGCGGGUUCCUGGACAUUAACUGACGCUGAGGCACGAAGGCCAGGGGAGCGAAAGGGAUUAGAUACCCUUGUAGUC